rnacentral:rRNA from 2 species
CGGACAUCAGGAGGUUAGUGCAAUGGCAUAAGCCAGCUUGACUGCGAGCGUGACGGCGCGAGCAGGUGCGAAAGCAGGUCAUAGUGAUCCGGUGGUUCUGAAUGGAAGGGCCAUCGCUCAACGGAUAAAAGGUACUCCGGGGAUAACAGGCUGAUACCGCCCAAGAGUUCAUAUCGACGGCGGUGUUUGGCACCUCGAUGUCGGCUCAUCACAUCCUGGGGCUGAAGUAGGUCCCAAGGGUAUGGCUGUUCGCCAUUUAAAGUGGUACGCGAGCUGGGUUUAGAACGUCGUGAGACAGUUCGGUCCCUAUCUGCCGUGGGCGCUGGAGAACUGAGGGGGGCUGCUCCUAGUACGAGAGGACCGGAGUGGACGCAUCACUGGUGUUCGGGUUGUCAUGCCAAUGGCACUGCCCGGUAGCUAAAUGCGGAAGAGA